GUGGUGGUGGCGCGGUGAGGGCCAGGAUGAGAUGGGCUCCUCUACGGCUGUCCUGUUUCCCUGUCACCUCAGGAAGGGCCAGGUAGCUCUCACCUGUCAGGUGAACACAAAGAAAGGAUACUGUCCCAUCAUUGUGUCCUCUGUUACCUGCCGGGUGUUUCAUGACUGUCCACUGUGUAUCUCCUUCCCUUGGAUUGAUCCAUCCACAAAGCCCAUGGUCAAAUGAACAACUGAGGACACCCGCCUCUGAAACAUUGAAAGGACCUUUAAACAUGUCUAUUCAGUGACAACAGUGUGAAAUAACUGUGUAUUUUUAGUUUUGUUUUAACUUUGUCUACUUUUAAGGAACAUCAAACCUGUCAAGGGACAAAAGAUGGAAAUUAACCUCAUGGCUACAAUCUUGUAUAUUUAGCAUGUUGUUUUAAAUGCUGGUAAUAUACAUGUAUGCUGUCCUUUUGUUAAAUAAAUAAACUUGCAAACUUGUA